AAUAAUAAUUUUGUGUAUUGAAAAAAAUGUUGCAAAUUAAAAAAAAAUUAGGAAAGAAAAAUUAUUGCCUCAAAUUUUGCAGGUGGAGAAUCAGGCCUAGUCUCUAGAGAGUAAAUAUUAUUUCUGAAGUACUCAAAAGCUUUAUCAUUUUUUGCCUCUGUUGUCUGAAAGAUAAAAAAUUGCAGUGUAACAACAUAUAUACUUUUGUCACCAAAUUUGAAUGCAUUUAUUGCAGAUUACUGGUGUAGAAUUUCAACUGAGUUACAUUUCUAACUUGCUUCUACUAGGAAAGGGAGGAAUAAAAUUCAUUACUUGUGUUUCUACAGAGCUACCCAUUUUUUGUUCAUUAAUAUGUGAUAGCUACUUGCACACUGGUUUGAGUUUUUUCUAUUUGCCUCAGCAGUAAAUAAACUUUACCAGAUUAAGGAGAAUUAUGGGUAUUUGCCAUGUGUCCCAUUUGAGGUCUCUUUGUAUGGCAGAACACACAACUUUCAGAACAUUCUUCAGAGAAAAAAAUUGUUCUGUGGAGAGUCUGAAAACAACUUUUUUUUGUUUUCUCUUGCAUAAUAAUUUUAUUUUCAACCUGCUGCAAUUACUUCUGAAUUACUGACUUCUGAGUAGAUGGAAACAUAAUUUUUUUUAAUUAGAAUGGAUUUGUAAUUUGUUUCCUUAUCUGAUGAGUCCUAAAGCUUUUAAAAAAAAACUCACCAAAGAGAACAUCACUGAAAAGUAGAGCAACUUAAUCUAGAAUUGUCAGUUGCCUGAUAGAUCAAAAACUUUUUGAUGGUAUGGAGAGCAAAAGCCUGCUUAUAACAGGGUGAAUUACUUCGGGCUCCAUGUUAUGAGGGACAUCUAAUAUUUAGUGCUUGAUAAAUAUUAGAUGAUCUGCUAAAUGUUAGAUGGUCACUAGGUAUUUUGUCUAGAACCUGAAUAGAAAUUUCAUCUGAAAUCUGAUUUAUUCUGUUAUUUUACCCAUCAAUACAUUCUGGAAAUGCAGCUGCUUUUCACAGAAAUGGCAUUAGAGAAUUACCAUUAACUAUGAAAACUCCCUUUGAUAAAAGGCUCUAAUUUGAAUUAACAUUCUCCUUCUCUUUCCUCUGAAGUGGACCCUUUGUUGUUGGUCCCUGUGACAUGAAUUAUACUCUUUAAGUUAGCUUGUUAGAGUUGAAAAAUAUAAUUUAAAAAAAAAAAAACACCAGGGGGAAAUUUCCUCUACAAACUAUUUCCUGUCCUAUCAGAUUGGAAUUAUACACCUGUAGGGUGGCUGGGUAAAGAGCAUACAUAUCUACCUUUAGUGUUAUUUUAUUUAUCUCUUAUUUGGAGAAACUCCAGGAGAAAUUAUCAUGACCAUCACAGAUUAAUUUUGCUGUUCAUCCAGAUUCCUUCGGCCAGCUAUGUCCUUCAGGCAUAAAUUCAGUUUUUGUCUUGUGAUCAUUGGGGAUACUGAGGUAUGAGGGUAGAUUGAGGAAGAAGAUGGUUUAUGGAUCCAAAGACUACAUCCAAGUUUGUUUUCUUACGCGGUCAGUUCUGAUUUUAAAUAAGGAGGGGCAUUCAUGCAAUGUACCCUAGCAUGUCUUUCUAAAAAUGCUAAUUUUUAGGGUCCACAAAGUGCUUCACGCUUGUCAGCACCAUAAUCUCCUCUGUUUAACUUGUCAUGUUUAUGUACUGUUCCAAUUUUCUCAGCACUGAGGGGUUUAUUUUCCAUUAUGUUGGACAUGUCAUCUAACUCAAGUCUGAAACCAAUUUGUGUUCCUUUGAGAGACACAACAAUGUCACAGGCAAAAAAAAAUCAAUCUAUUCACAGUUUUUCUUCCUUUUCCUUGUAAUACAUUCAUUUAAUACUUAUCACUUCCCAACUAUCUUGUCAGGAUCCUUUUUAAGCAUCAUUUUUUAGUGUUCUGUUCAUUAACUUUUCAAAGUCCUACGCAGGACUACAUGUGACCAGCACAUAAUCUAAACAUCAUAAAAUUCACAUCAAUACUGUUCCUCUCUCUUCACUUCAGGACACAGCUGUUCUUUAUGUUAAUUUCUCGACUCCAAACUUUCAGAAAUUCAUAAAAAAUUGACAUUUCUUAAAGGGGUUUUUUUGCAAACCAGGUUAUCUUGAUCAAUUUAUCAUGCUUUAUACUCUUCAGUGUUCUAUACUGCAAUAAUAUCAUGCCCAUCAAUGAUUAUUACUCUCUCAUUUCUUUUUCUUUCAGGCACCUGUGGUCUUAUGCUAAACCACCUGAACUUCAUGUCUUUUUAACCAAUAAAAUUUAAAUCACUGAAAUUAUCAGAAAGGCUUUUACUAAAUCAGUUUUGUUCUUCUUGAUAAAUAAGUUGCAUACUGAGAAUUACCUCCUGAGUGGGAAUGUGAAAGCAAAGACAUUUGUCUCUACUGGGUACGUGUCAGAGUGGACAAUAUCAAAUCUUGAGUAGCUCAAAGCAAAGCAUCUUACCUGGAGGUGCAGCCAGGGAACUGCAAAUUUAUAACUUCUCUGUUCUUUUCACAGUUUUGUUACCCUUUGUACAUGGGCCUCACAUUAACAUCCCUUGCCAAAUAUUCUGCAUUUCAAAACUAAAUGUUGUAUUUUCACAUCUAAGAGUUAUCAUGUAAACCUUGGUCUUGUGAUAAGUUUUUCUUCUCCAGUUGGUCUUCUCUUUCACAGUCUCCAGCUGUUGUCAAUCUUUCUGUUCUACCUGAAUCCCUGUAGCCAGGAAUAAGCUCAUCUGUUAAGCUGGUGUGAAGGAGUGGGAAAUUGGAAAUUAAUUAUUCCUUUCAAUAACAUCUGGAUCCAAAGCAUCAAAUAAUCAUGACAGUGCUUAUCCCCAGCUUUCACCACUGUGGCCAAGUGGCAUGAUUACCUUUUUAUUAUGUUGCCAUUGGGUGUUUGUCAUUCCACCAUGUGGUAUGAAAAUGUGUUGAUUAUGGUUAACACACCUGAGCUCCUGACACUACCCAUUUCCACUGAACAGAUUUCAAAAGAAAAUUAAUGACAUUUAGAACCAUGCAGACAGCCCGAUGCCUAUUAAACUCUAAAUACUGAAGUUACUACUGUGUAAUUUAAUAAUGACAAGCAAUCAAAGGAAACCAGGAGGUUCUCUAAGUCUCUUUAAUUACACUUAUUUGUUGCUUUAUGGUGAACUUCUGUCCAAUGCUCCCAAAUCUCAGAGAAAUCAGGAGGAGGGAGACUCUGAGCUCAUUAGCAACAUCCAGGGCCAUCUGAAGUGCACUGGCAUACCAAGAAAUCUUCACUGGAAUGGCAGAGUAAAGAUGACAACUGAAGAUCUGAAAUCUUCCAUAGAUUCUGUGUCAUAUCUGCCAAUCUGGGACAGAUUUCUGAAUAACAUUAGGUGUGGCACCCUGGAUACUAGACUGUGUUAAGUUCCUAAUUCACAGACUAUGACAUGAAAAUUUACUUGUCUGAAUAUCAAUAUCUAAAUCUGGCAUAUGUGUUGUGUGUCAACUAUAACUGAUGGGGACUUAGAUUAACUGCUGACAUGUAGGCAUCCUAUUCUAUUGAGAUGCCCAUGGAUAUUCCAUCUCACUUCCCACCAAAGGUCCUUUUGUCACAAUUGACAGCACUAGGAUACAUAUGCAAGCAAAAGAAUGGAUUUAUUGUUGAAUGUUUUUCCCCCACACUUGCUGAAGUCAUUUUGUGAAUGUAUUUUCAUGAAGAGGACUUUAGGGUGCUGUAUUAAAACAACUUAUGUACCAUCUACAUUUUAACAGAAAAUAUUUGGAACAGGCCUUGAUAUUCAUCAAUGUGACAUACAAUAAUUCACUGUGAGAUUUCUUUAUUGGGCUUAGAAAGUGUUAAACCUUAAAUGGGAAUAGAAUCUAAACACAUGAAAGAGCAGAGAGAGUGAUAUAGUUAGGCAGAGUUUCUGACUGUCAGAGAGCUCCAAAAAUAUGAUGCAGUAUUCCUGAAAAGUUUUGAGGCUUAAAUUAGCUUUCACUAAAGCCAGGCUGAGUUGUCAGACGUGUUCUUAGCAAGCAUACAAAGUCUUUAUGGGAAUGGCAGCACUUGCAGACCCUUCUAGAAUCAACAGCCACAAGCUGUCAGGGCUCUGAAGUCUCAAUUUAUAUUCCAAAUGAUGUUGCUGGUUCUGUGUGUAUGACACAUACCAGGCUUUUCACCUUGCUGGGUUUGCUCUGCUCAGGGGGAGUUGCAUUCAACAAUGUAUUUUUUGCCUGAGACAAGGAAUUGCUUUCAUUUCCAGUUCUCACAGCAUUAGAGCAGCACAGUCAAGAGUGCAAUUUCUAGUCUGGAAAGAGAACCAGUGACACUGUUUCAACAGCAGUCAUUGGACAACAGACACAAGCAAACCUGGAGAUUCUUCAGGGAAAAUUUCCCUUCAGGCAAACAAAAGGUUCUUUUUCAUGUCUGUAAAAAAAUAUACCCUUGACCUUUUCAAAAUGCAGAUAGAACCAGUGAGCAAACAUCUGAGAUGUCUUGCUCAUCAUGUAUGAGUACCUAUGCAUGCAGACUUUUCCUAAUUGAGUUAGUAUUUAAAUAAAAAUACAUAUUCUUAGACUUCAGAGAGGAAAAUGACAGUUCACCCAAUACUACCUGCACCUCCAAAACAAAAACUAGGAUAUGAACUUAAGGAUUUGAACUUUUAGUAGAAACUUCUGUCAUAAAAAGAGGCAAGGCUCUUCCUCAAUUCCAUAAGAUAACUUUUUCUACUUCAGGUCAAGUUGUUCCAGUAAAAUCUGUUCUGCAGCAGCAUUUUCUCAGUUCCAAGACAUGACUGUCCUUGAGAUAAUAUAGUUUGCUAUCAGCAAGGAAAUAAAUCUGUACCAGAGUAACACUGUUCUGGUAAUCGGUGUCUGAAAAGAGAAGACAGUUUGUGCACAAAUGAGACAUUCUAUAGGUGUUUAGUAUCUAACUUUGUCCUUGGAAAAUAAUUCGUUCUUAUUGACCGCAUAAAAAGCUUGUUCCAAAAAUGUAUUUUCAUUUCCACAAAUUGGGAUUUUUAUUAUUUUUUCAACCUCUAGUAUAUUUACACAUCAGAAACUGUCCCUAACUAUUGCAUUUGCCUCUGCACUGUUUUAGAUAUGAUACAAAAAUUCUCUGCCUCACAUCCAGAUUAAUUAGAAGGACAUGGAACUUGUUGGGUUUUUUUCCUGGUUUCAUAAAUUAUUUUAAAUCUCUGACUGAUAAGCAAUUCAUAGAGCUGUAGCAGCUAAGGAAAAUAAAUACCUGUGUGUCCAUUAGAAUGUAAAUUAACUCAUUACUAUGCCUGCUCCUGACCUUUUCUGAUGGCUGUGUUCUUGCUAACAAAGACACUUUGCUAUUCAUGAAAGUGAAAUUUAAUGGUAGCUUGAGAUUCUCUGACAUAUUUUAGAUUACAUUCUGAUAGACUCAGGUGACCGGUGAGGGUUCCAGCUUGAACAGCAAAUACUUUUAGCAUUCAUGACUUUGAAUAGCUAUCCUUUUUCUAAUUAUUUGUGAAGAUUUGAAUAUUGUUGAAAAUUUGUUGCUUCAGGAGGCUAGGUCAGAGAAACUUCAUGAACUUCACAAAAAGGGCUCCUAUGUUUAAAAAGCUGAAUAUUGACAGUACCUGACCUCACAGUCAUUUAAGAUUUUGUAUCGGCUCUAUAAACAUGGAAACUUACAAUCAUAGAAUCAUGAAAAGGUUUAGAUUGACAAUACCUUAAGAUCAUCAAGGCCAACCAUUAACCAGCACUGCAAAGUCCAUCACUAAACCAUGUCCUAAAGUACCACAUUUACACAUCUUCUAAAUACCUCCAGGGGUACUGACUCAACCAACUCCCUGGGCAGCAUGUUCCACUGCUUGGCAAUCCUUUGGGUGGAGAAAUUUUUCCAAAUAUACAAUCUAAACAUGCCCUGUGCAACUUUAGGCCAUUUUUUCUUGUCAUAUCUCUUGUUACUUGGAAAAAGAGAUCGACCCCCACCUCACCACAACCUCCUCCUGAAAUGUGUGGAGCAAAAAGGUCUCCCCUGAGCCUCUCUGUGUCCAGGUUCAACACCCCCAGCUGCCUCAGCUGCUCCUCAUCAGACUUGUGCUUCAGAUCCUUCCCUGGCCCUGUGCAAGCCCUUCUCUGGACCCAUUCCAGCAUCUCAACGUCUUUCUUGUCCUGAGAGGCCCAAAACUGAUUAAAGGUGUGGCUUCCCCAUUGCCGAGUACCGGGGAAUGAUCACUGCUCUGGGCCUGCUGGCCACACUAUUGCUGAUACAAGUCAGGAUGCUAGUGAUUGUAAGACUUCUCCCAGCUGCUUAUAGAAUAUUUCAUGAGCCUCUUCAUCCUGAUUGGGCGGUCUACAAAAGAGGAAUCCCACCAUGUUAUCUGUCUAGCUGGCCUCUCUUAAUUCUUAAACAUUCAGCCGUGUCAUCUCAUCACUAAGGUCCAGACAGUCAAGACAGCCUCUAAAAUACAGAGCUGUCUCUCCUUCUUUGCCUGUGUCUUCUGAAGAGUUUAUUAUCUUUCAUUGCAGCAGUCCAGUGAUGUGAGUCAUCUCACCACAUUUCUGUGGUGGCAGCUAUAUCAUAGCUUUCCUGUGGUACCAAGAACUGGGCUUCCAGCUCUUCCUAUUUGUUGCCUGUGCUGUGUGCAGUGGUGCAAGCAUUCUCCAGCUGGGCUAUUGAUCCUGCCACCUUUUUGGGGAGAUAAGCCCUAAUUCCUGUGUGACCACUGUCAGCUGCUUCCAUGGUUUCUAGCUCAUUAAUAACCCUCAUGUCUCUGGUGCUGCAUGGAUCCAUCCCCUACCUCCACUGAGGACAUUGGUAGCACACUGCCCCUCAGUGACAUGCAGCCCCCAGGGUUAGCUCUAGCAAGCCUGCUUUUAUCCCUUACCCUGUUCAAAUGCAGUUUAAAUCUCUUUCAAUGAGCCCUGCUACCUCCUGUGCAUAGAUUCCCCACUAUGAGACAACUGUACCCUAUCUGUUCUCUGAAGUCCUGGUGUUCUCUAAACUAACCCAUGAUCAAAAAUACAAAACUCACACUUUGCUGGUGGCACCAGACUCAGAGCCAAGGAAUGAUCUGCUGGUUCUUCCUGUUUCUUCUGUAAUCAUCUUCUGCAACUGUAAAAAUAGAGGAGAACCCUAUCUGUGCUUCUGAUCCCUUAACCACUCAUCCCAAGGCCCUGAAGUCAGUCUUGAUUUCCCUCUAACCUCUUGUUGCAGCUUCAUCACUGUCUACCUGAGAAAUUAAUAAUGGGGCUGUGUCAGGGUAGGAAGCUUUCUCUUCAUAUCUUUAACCAAGGCUGGAGGGAGGCAAAAGACUUCCAUAAGAGCUGGGUCUGGGCUGCAUAUUGGGCCUUCUGUUCCCUUCAGAAAGGAGUUUCCUGUGACAAUGACCCAUCUUUGUUUUGGGAGGCAGCUUUGGCGCAGGGAGCAGGCCAGCUUGCUGACAGCAUCACACCCAUGCUGCAUGAAGCACCAGCCUUGUUAUGUUUGGUUCCACUUGCAGAGUCUCAUACCUGCUAUGCCUGGACAUCUGGAGAGGUGAGGCAGUCCAGUCCCAGGGGAGACAUGCACUGGGCAGGCACUUGUCACCACUGCCACCAAUCCCUUAAGUCACUUUGUUCAGCCAAGGGGAGGGGAUAACAAAUUCCCUCUAUCAUCUGUCCUGUCUAUCUGGGGAGCCUGUCCCUGGGAAUAGAGGGAGUGAAGGUUAAAGCACAGUGCUGGUAACACCAAAGUCAUGGGCUCAGUCCCUGGAUGGGCUAUUCACUCAGAGUUGGACUUGACAAUCCCUGUGUGUCUGUUCCGACUCAGAAUAUUCUGACAUUCCAGUAGUCUGAUACUCUUACACUCCCCCUGAUUCCUCAGCCUAUUCACUUCUUCCCAGAGGUGUCACUGAGCACAGGAGCUCCUCACUCACUAUGCCAGCAGUCCUGGCACAAGGGCAGUGCAAAUCCUGGCACUGGGGUGGCAGUAUGAUCCCACUGGAGUUCCACCUGGGCAGCUGUGCUCCUCAUGCUGGGUGCAGAGUUAGAGAGGCCUUGUCCUUCUUCCUGUAGCUGGCAGGGUUUCAGCACCAUUCCUGUGUGCCCUUCUGUGCCAGCUGCUGCCAGACUAUCACAUCAUGCCCUUAGCCACACCAUGCCCUGUGUGCCCACCCUGCUGAUGGUGGUCCUGACCCCCAGAGAUCCCUACAGGGUAUUUUGUCCUUGGGAGGAAGGUUUGGCCUGGUGCUCCUGGUUCUGUUAGCUUGGCAUGGGCUGCAGGCUGCUAUUGGCCCUCCUCUGAGCUUCCCAAAUUCAGACAAUUCCCCCAUGCAUCUCACUGGAGCAUUCCACAGGCAAUCACGUCAGCACCAGAGCCACUCGCCUCAGCAACUUCAGUAGGAUGAGAUCAGGUACAUUUUCCUAAAGUACUCUUCUACUUCUGCAUCAUUACUGAUAAACUUCUGUCUCACACUUCAUGCUAUGUGUCAAGAAGUCUGAAACUCCGAAAGAAGAGCUGAAAUAAAGACUUGGACUCACUAAGUCACCUUGAGUAGAGAUAAACCAUUGGGCUGAUACCCCAAUGGGGUAGAGAUCUAGCUGACCUUCCUUUGAACAGUCCCUGCUUUUUGCCCAUACUUUCAUAGAUUGUCUGUAGGCAGAAAUGUAUUUAAUCUUUGGGAUCACUUUUCAUAGGUGUAGUAGGCCAAAGAGUGAAGAACAGUGAUGAUUUAAACUGGAGCACUACUUCUGUUGAAGCUUCACUUGGGUUGAGAACAGGAGCAAUCAAGUAGUGGAACAUAAAGCAAAAUGCCAGCACAAGCAACUACUGAGAAUCAGUUUGCACCGUUCUGAGUCUUUUUUCAGGAAAACCUGAUUAAUAACAUCUGAGCAUAUGUAUAUAGCCAUAAAGAAGACAGAAGUAUUUCUCAGUUUUCUUAAUGUGAACCUGCAUUUGAUGCAGCUGAUGACUGUAACCAGCCUUCAAGUUUCUGCAACACAGUGCAGUUAUUUGCCAUGCUGCUUCUAUGUCACCUACUGCAGGGGAAAGGCACUGGCUCUAAACACUGGAAUGUUGUAGUCAAAGGCAGUGGGUCGUUCAUCUCACUCUGAUGUGGGAUGUGUUGAUUUUUGGCCCAUUGCAUCAGGUGCCAUCCCAGCUAAAGACCAAAUGGACCCUCCACAGCAUGGCACCAUGUCUCUGCAGGACAGCUGACAGCAGGAGUAGCUAACUGUGCUUGAAGAGCUAGAGCUUGCAGUCUUCUUACACCUACUCUUUAUUUCAGGAUAUCUUCAUCAAAAAGGAGAAGUACAGUAAACUGAAGCUGGAAUUUGCCUUGAUAUGAAAAAAAAAAAAAAGGAAAAAAGUUUUUUCUUCCUGCUACUUUUGAACCCAAAAUCUGUUUUCAGUUCACAGUGUUUUUUAGUUAAGUUACAACUUAGAAACCGUCACAGCUCUGAUUUCCAGGGAAGCUCAUUUUGGAAGGUGGUAAAUACAACUUAAAAAGCAAUCUCAAAAAUAAUUUUUGUAACACUGCUUUAUGAGAAAAUGUAAAUCUGAGUUUUAGAAGACAUGUGGUUGUUACUGUACCUCAGCUUAUUUUUUUUAAAUUAAACAAUUAAAAUGUUCAUAUGUGUUGGCCACCAGAUGCUGUACCUUAUUACAGUUUAAAUAGCCAGCCUGGAAUAAGAAAUCAUUAUAUUCUCAAAAUCAAUUUUGCAGAAGCAUAUGAGGUCAUGUAUUUUUAUUGUUGCAUGCUUACCUGUUACCACAGUAUUUUCCUGUUAGCACCUGGCUGAAUGGUGGGACUUUUUUAACAAAAGCCAGGAACCCAACUGUCCUUUCCUAAACUGAUGCAGACCUGCACUGGCUGUCUUUACAAGGAGUGUUAAUAAAAAAGAUACAGGAAUCUUCAAGAAAUGGGCUGCAGCUUGUGUGGUGAGGUUGCCAUGAGGAGGGGAGGCUCUCAGGCACACGGGUGAGCCAAAAGCCACUCAUGGGAAGAACAGGCUGCAUGAAGUCUUUUUAGGUGGAUCUAAGCUGACUUCUGUUAUUUCAAAUUUUAAACAUGUAUGUGGAUAUGGAGGUGAGGGGUGUUCAUAUGUAAAUGUAUAUAAUAUUUUCAGCUACUCAAGUUUUUAUGAAGACAUCCCAAGUUGGACAACAGAGGGCUGGGAGUUUGGGGAAGGAGAAGCAGAAACCUGGAAGUGGAAUGAGGUUGUCAGAGCUUGUCCAGUACAUGUUUCUAGUUGGAUGUGAGUUGAUCAGAAGGUUGCACAGUAUUAGUAUUGUACUAGUACACAAAAGAAGUUGAAAGCUGCAUUUUUUGGAGAACAAAUUUCAGCCCUGUUGAUAAAUCAACAUCUGUAUAUGAACUGAUGCCAGUCUGCUGGUAGCCAUCAUUCAGGUGGGAUCCUGCUCUCCAUGGUGGGGAGGGCUCACAUGGCAUGUAAGGAGCUCCAGAAAGUAAAGGAAAAUGUGAUGUGAAGUGAGGUCAAACUAAAUGAAAGUCCACUUCUCAUUGCCUGCUCUAGAUGUGGCUGCAGAUGGCCAACACUGCUGAGUGGACACUGAACAUACAUUAUUAAGGUAUAUUCUUCUGGUGAGAUUUUAAGCCUCAGUUUUCUACUUGUAGAGGAUUUUUUUCUUUUACUCUUGCAGUGUUCUACAUACGCAAUAUUCUCUUGAAUUGCAGCAAUUGUUGCAUAUGUUUAAAUACUGGUGAUAAUUAUUUUGGUACACAACAAUUAUCCAUGAUCAGUCUCACAUUGAAUAACUGAUGAUGUCAUAUAUUCUAUAAAAGUCAGUUUUGUUUAGGUUGGGGAAAGGAUGUUUAGUUCAGCUGUGAGUGUAGAUCUUCUGUGAGACAAUAUGAAAAUUGUCAAGAAAUAGGUAAGAGAUGUCAUGUAAAGCUCCUUUAUAGAACUAGGCCUUCACCCCUUUAGCCCAGCACCUAAUCUUUGACAGAGGUGAGAGAUUAUCUCGUUUUACAUGAGGUCAAGGUGUAACAGAUGGAAUUAAAUCAGAAGAAUGGAUUUUACUAUUAGUCCCAAGGUUUGUUACCUUUAGAGAUUGUUGCUUCUAUAGCAUCUGUUUGUACACAUAUGGAUCUCCAAUUUCUUUUUUUUUUCAUUUUCCUUUGGAUCUUUUACUUGUCUGGCAUCAUAUAUCCAUUACUUUUCUUAACAUAAUUUCAUGCUGUGUGAAUAAAUACUGCUUUUUAGUUUU